UUCAGGUAGCCAGUCACAGGACAGGAAUGAUCUUACACCUGUGCCUAUUGUGGGCAAUGGUUGGCCUGAGGAGGGUUGCUCCAAAGGUUUGUCUGUGCAAAAAAGCAGUUUAUCUGUGAAUGGAGUUUCUGAAUGUCUGUCUGAUGUCUCAGAAGUGAAUCUGGAGUUAGAUCAAGAGCAAAAAGAUCUCAUUGGGGAGGAAAAUGUUUCUCAGGAGCAGAUUAAAGUAGAUGGUCAGGCGGAAGCCCUAACUGAGGGAGGAAAGGGUAAAUUUGUGAUUGGUGAUGGAUUGGUGGCUAGUACAGCUUGUAAAAGUGAACCUGAAAUGGGUAACUGUAAUUUGCUGAAAGUAGCUCAGUCUAGUGAAAAAAGCAGCAGCUUAUCUGUUGGGAGUGGCAAUGUGCCUGGUAGGGAAAGUUUGGAGGAGCCUAGGCAGCCUUGUGAGCUGAUGGUUUUGUCUAGUCAGCAGUUUGGGAAGACAAGGAUAGUGGAAGAUGAGUGUCCCUAUCCCUUACCUGUUUCCUGUGUGGAGAAAUGUGACAGUAAAGGAAAUGUGCCUGUGUCUGUCAGGGGUAUUGACUUGCCUAUGGAGGAAGCUACCUCGCCCUGCAAGCAGUUGUCUGUGAACAGCCCUGUGUGCUGGGACAAGGGAAAUGAGAUCCCAAGCUGUGUGUCUGG